GAGUUUGAUCUUGGCUCAGAUUGAACGCUGGCGGCAGGCCUAACACAUGCAAGUCGAGCGGUAGAGAGAAGCUUGCUUCUCUUGAGAGCGGCGGACGGGUGAGUAAUGCCUGGGAAUCUGCCUGGUAGUGGGGGAUAACGGCUCGGAAACGGACGCUAAUACCGCAUACGUCCUACGGGAGAAAGCAGGGGACCUUCGGGCCUUGGCGCUAUCAGAUGAGCCUAGGUCGGAUUAGCUAGUUGGUGAGGUAAUGGCUCACCAAGGCGACGAUCCGUAACUGGUCUGAGAGGAUGAUCAGUCACACUGGAACUGAGACACGGUCCAGACUCCUACGGGAGGCAGCAGUGGGGAUAUUGGACAAUGGGCGAAAGGCCUGAUCCAGCCAUGCCGCGUGUGUGAAGAAGGUCUUCGGAUUGUAAAGCACUUUAAGUUGGGAGGAAGGGCAGUAAAUUAAUACUUUGCUGUUUUGACGUUACCGACAGAAUAAGCACCGGCUAACUCUGUGACAGCAC
rnacentral:rRNA from 1 species